GUCUGUAUGGUGCAGUGGUUUGAAUGUUGGACUAUGAAUCUGGAGAGCAGGAAUCAAAUCCCAGCUUGGCCA